rnacentral:rRNA from 1 species
AGUGAACGCUGGCGGUAGGCCUAACACAUGCAAGUCGAACGGCAGCACAGUAAGAGCUUGCUCUUACGGGUGGCGAGUGGCGGACGGGUGAGGAAUACAUCGGAAUCUACUUUUUCGUGGGUGAUAACGUAGGGAAACUUACGCUAAUACCGCAUACGACCUACGGGUGAAAGCAGCGGAUCUUCGGACCUUGCGCGAUUGAAUGAGCCGAUGUCGGAUUAGCUAGUUGGCGGGGUAAAGGCCCACCAAGGCGACGAUCCGUAGCUGGUCUGAGAGGAUGAUCAGCCACACUGGAACUGAGACACGGUCCAGACUCCUACGGGAGGCAGCAGUGGGGAAUAUUGGACAAUGGGCGCAAGCCUGAUCCAGCCAUACCGCGUGGGUGAAGAAGGCCUUCGGGUUGUAAAGCCCUUUUGUUGGGAAAGAAAAGCAGCAGGUUAAUACCCCGCUGUUCUGACGGUACCAAAAGAAUAAGCACCGGCUAACUUCGUG